UGUAACGAGCCACAUUGCUCUGUAAUUUGCAGCUGGAGAAGACGGGAGAGACGAAGAGUAGGACGAGGCUAGCUGAUAAGAGUUGGGCUGAACAAAUGGAGAUGCGUCCAGAAGAGGUGAAGGAGAAAUUAGAUGCUGGUGGGCUGGAUGCCAGUGAGGUGUGGUACUACAGGCAUUCCAUGGUGUGUCUUUCAAGGCUCAGGUUCGAGCUUAUUCCAGGAAAUACAGCCGGUCACGAGGGCACCACGGAGCCAAACCAUGAUGCUGCCAAUCUUCGCC